rnacentral:tRNA from 1 species
GCCGCUUUAGCUUAGUUGGUAGAGCACCCGCCUGUUAGCGGUAGGUCGUCAGUUCGAAUCCGACAAUCGACACCA